UGACAGGAACGUCCCCCACGUCCUUACACG
rnacentral:piRNA from 1 species